CCCCCACCCUAGAAUGUCUUCCUCCCACUCGGAUCCCAGCAGUAAGCUCCCAGGAGCUCACUUUAGCUUGCCUGGGGGUGCCAGAGACCUCUGAGCUCAGAGAUUUCCACUCAUGGUGAAUUUAUGGAGAAUCUGGUCACUCAGGAUAACAAGUGGAGCCUAUUCUAAAGAACUCAUUUUGGAGUUGACUGAAUAUGACACUUAAUUCAAAAUGAUUCCUCAAGUGACCAGAAUUCUCAUCAUAGCAGCAUAAAACUGUAUGAUACCUAUUAUUCAAAACACGGUGCAAAGAAACAAGUUAUUCUGCAGAACGAGUCAUACACUGUUCGAGGUGCUGGGAUACGGUGAAGAACCAGACACACUUGGUCUCUGUUGUAACAGAUCUUGCAGUGGGAGGAUGGAAGGAGAUACACUGUCAGUUGAUAACUGAAGCAAUAAGAAAACUUGGGAGUGCCAUGUGUAAGAAGUGAAGCAGAGCAAUAUCAUGGAGAAUGUGUAUCAAUUGGCUGUGAAACUUAAGUGACAUCUGAAGCUCAAGAAGAAGUCAGACAUGUGAAGACAAAGUAUCAGACAGCUCCAAGACCAUACUCAGAUUCUACUUACUACUUGAGAUGGAUGUAUUGCUUGCCAAAGACUUUACUGCUUACAGGAAUAAAUUCAUCUAGAGCCACUCUAUGACCUCACAAAGGAAUCAGUACACUGGCUUCUUAACCUGAUAUCCCCACUUUUGCAGUUUCUGCCCUAUCAGUAACUAAACACACAGCACUAUUAAACUUCCUAAAUGACCAGUUAACUGAAAAUCCCAUAGACCCCUUCAGGAGAAUCCUAAUUACCUAAAGGAUAAAGUCCAAAUUUACUUCCCAUCUAAGACUUGCAAUGAUAGACUCCCACAUUCUUGUCCAGUUUUACAUUCUGAAGCUGCUCUAUCCCAAAGCAAAGAUGGACUCCACGUUGUCCCCACCUACUAAAUAUAUUUGUAACUCCAAACAUUUGUUAACAUUCUCCCUCUUGGAAUGCCUUUGCUCCCUGUCCCACAUGAAUCCUACCCCACCCACCAAAUAUUCAGCCCCAGUGCCCCUUUUUCUAGAAAGCCUUUCCUAAUGGUUUCAGUUCUCAAUGAAUCUCUUUACUGAUUUUUUCCCCAUGUUUAUUGCUUAAACACUCUCAAGUAUGGGAUCCCCGAAAACAUCUAAACUCACCUUGACCUUGACCUGAGUAAGGGCUAGAGCUUGCAUAAUUUGAACUUCCCAUUGAUGCUAAUGAUAGGAACACUUAGAUUUCUUUAGCUGCCAAGCUGUGGGGUAGAAGAGGAAGAGGGUAUAGUGGGGCCUGAAAGCUGUCAAUAGACACUAAACAUGGAGUCAAACUCUGCAUUUCACCUCUACUCAACCCUCUCAUUUCUCCUUCUUUAUCCCCUUCACCAUCUAAAGAAUCCUAUGAAUAGUCUUCUCACAUAUGUGAAGAGGACUGAGGGAAUACAGUACAUUGAAGUUGUUAUACUCAAUGUUCUUAAGAAUUCAGUAGAAAUUCUAGUGUGUAAUACUAACUUUAGAAACAAAACACUAACCUAUGCUGUGGUGGACAGACUCUAAGAUAACCCCCAUUGACCUGCCUUCUGCUCUUCAUGCCCUCUAUAUAAUCUCUCUCCCCUUGAGUGGAAGCAGAUCCUACAACUUCCAGAAUGUGGCAAAGGUCAAAGGGUUUCUCAGAUGCAAUCAGGAUCACAAAGAAGUUGAUUAUGAGUUAAUCAAAGGGGAGAUUAUCAUUGGUGGACCUGAUGGGAGACUCCCUUUGCUGGCUAAGGUGCCUUUUAGGAGGGAGUCAGCUGAGCUGCUGGAAGUCUCUAGGAGCUGAGAUUGGCCUCUGGCUGACAUUCAGCCGGUAAUUGGGAUGCUCAGUCAUACAACUGCCAGGAGAUGCAUUUUGCUAACAGCCUGUGUGAACUUGGGAGUGAAUUCUUCCCCGUUAAGCCUCCAGAUGAGAAUACAGCCCAGCCAACAUCUCGAUUGCAGCCUGGUGAGAUUGUGAGCAGAGGACUCGACUAAGCUAUACCCCAAAUCCUGAUCCACCUAAACUGUGAGAUAAUAAAUGUGCAUUGUUUAAAGCGAU